CCUACGGGAGGCAGCAGUGGGGAAUAUUGGGCAAUGGAGGAAACUCUGACCCAGCGACGCCGCGUGCGGGAUGAAGGCCUUCGGGUUGUAAACCGCUUUCAGUAGGGAAGAAGCGAAAGUGACGGUACCUACAGAAGAAGCACCGGCUAACUAUGUGCCAGCAGCCGCGGUAAUACAUAGGGUGCAAGCGUUGUCCGGAAUUAUUGGGCGUAAAGAGCUCGUAGGUGGUUCGUCACGUCGGAUGUGAAAAUCUGGGGCUCAACCCCAGACCUGCAUUCGAUACGGGCGAUCUAGAGUGUGGUAGGGGAGACUGGAAUUCCUGGUGUAGCGGUGGAAUGCGCAGAUAUCAGGAGGAACACCAAUGGCGAAGGCAGGUCUCUGGGCCAUUACUGACACUGAGGAGCGAAAGCGUGGGGAGCGAACAGGAUUAGAUACCCUGGUAGUCCACGCCGUAAACGGUGGGCACUAGUUGUGGGAACCUUCCACGGUUUCUGCGACGCAGCUACGCAUAAGUAGCCCGCCGUCGGGAGGUACGAGUCGCGAAGAAGUUAAACUAACUAAAUAGUAAGUUAGUUACGGUCGUUGAGACGUUGCCGACGGCGACGACGAGGGAGGAGG
rnacentral:rRNA from 1 species